GGCCUAACACAUGCAAGUCGAGCGCGAAAGGCUUUCGGGCUGAGUAGAGCGGCGGACGGGUGAGUAACGCGUAGGAAUCUACCUGGUAGUGGGGGACAACUUGGGGAAACUCAAGCUAAUACCGCAUACGCCCCACGGGGGAAAGCGGGGGACCUUCGGGCCUCGCGCUAUCAGAUGAGCCUGCGUAGGAUUAGCUAGUUGGUGAGGUAAAGGCUCACCAAGGCGACGAUCCUUAGCUGGUCUGAGAGGAUGAUCAGCCACACUGGGACUGAGACACGGCCCAGACUCCUACGGGAGGCAGCAGUGGGGAAUAUUGCGCAAUGGGGGCAACCCUGACGCAGCCAUGCCGCGUGUGUGAAGAAGGCCUUCGGGUUGUAAAGCACUUUAAGUGGGGAGAAAAGGGUAGCGGUUAAUAGCCGUUACCUGUGAUGUUACCCACAGAAUAAGCACCGGCUAACUCCGUGCCAGCAGCCGCGGUAAUACGGAGGGUGCGAGCGUUAAUCGGAAUUACUGGGCGUAAAGCGCGCGUAGGCGGUUUGUUAAGUCAGCUGUGAAAGCCCCGGGCUCAACCUGGGAACUGCAGUUGAUACUGGCCGACUAGAGUACGAGAGAGGGAGGUAGAAUUCCAUGUGUAGCGGUGAAAUGCGUAGAUAUAUGGAGGAAUACCGGUGGCGAAGGCGGCCUCCUGGCUCGAUACUGACGCUGAGGUGCGAAAGCGUGGGGAUCAAACAGGAUUAGAUACCCUGGUAGUCCACGCCGUAAACGAUGUCUACUAGCCGUUGGGAGACUUGAUCUCUUAGUGGCGCAGCUAACGCAAUAAGUAGACCGCCUGGGGAGUACGGCCGCAAGGUUAAAACUCAAAUGAAUUGACGGGGGCCCGCACAAGCGGUGGAGCAUGUGGUUUAAUUCGAUGCAACGCGAAGAACCUUACCAGGUCUUGACAUCCUCGGACUUUCCAGAGAUGGAUUGGUGCCUUCGGGAACCGAGAGACAGGUGCUGCAUGGCUGUCGUCAGCUCGUGUCGUGAGAUGUUGGGUUAAGUCCCGUAACGAGCGCAACCCUUGUCCUUAGUUGCCAGCACGUAAUGGUGGGAACUCUAAGGAGACUGCCGGUGACAAACCGGAGGAAGGUGGGGACGACGUCAAGUCAUCAUGGCCCUUACGACCUGGGCUACACACGUGCUACAAUGGAACGCACAGAGGGCAGCAAAAGCGCGAGCUGGAGCCAAUCCCAUAAAACGUUUCGUAGUCCGGAUCGGAGUCUGCAACUCGACUCCGUGAAGUCGGAAUCGCUAGUAAUCGUGGAUCAGAAUGCCACGGUGAAUACGUUCCCGGGCCUUGUACACACCGCCCGUCACACCAUGGGAGUGGGUUGCUCCAGAAGUGGUUAGCCUAACCUUCGGGGGGGCGAUCACCAGGGAGUGAUUCAUGACUGGGGUGAAGUCGUAACAAGGUA
rnacentral:rRNA from 1 species